GGCUCUUUGCUUACACAAAUAUAGGGAGUCGAGCCUGCCCAGUGAAUUUUUAAACGGCCGCGGUACUCUGACCGUGCAAAGGUAGCAUAAUCAUUUGCCUUAUAAUUGAAGGCUAGUAUGAAUGGUUUGACGAAAACAACACUGUCUCCUUUUUAUUUUCAAGAACUUAACUUUUAGGUGAAGAGGCCUAAAUUUUAUUGAAGGACAAGAAGACCCUAUCGAGCUUAAAAGACAUUAUAGAAGUUUAUAUAUUUUUAAAUAAAUUUUCUAUCAAGCUUUUUAGUUGGGGCGACUAAGGAACAAAAAAAGCUUCUUGCUGAUAAUAAACAGUCAUGUUUAGAUCCGAUAGUAGUCGAUCAAAGAAAUUAGUUACCGUAGGGAUAACAGCAUAAUCUCUCUUGAGAGACCUAAUCGAAAGAGGGGGUUGUGACCUCGAUGUUGGACUAGAAUAUCCUAAAGAUGCAGAAGUCUUUAAGGGUCGGUCUGUUCGACCGUUAAAAUUCU
rnacentral:rRNA from 1 species